AGAUCGCAGUCUGCAACCCGACUGCGUGAAGUCGGAAUCGCUAGUAAUCGCGGAUCAGCAUGCCGCGGUGAAUACGUUCCCGGGCCUUGUACACACCGCCCGUCACACCAUGAGAGUUGGGAACACCCGAGGUCCGUAGCCUAACCGCAAGGGGGGCGCGGCCGAAGGUGGGUUCAAUAAUUGGGGUGAAGUCGUAACAAGGUACC
rnacentral:rRNA from 1 species